rnacentral:misc_RNA from 1 species
UUUCCGUAGGUGAACCUGCGGAAGGAUCAUUAAUGAAGAAAUAAGGGUGCUUUCGAGACCCGACUCUCAUUAUAUUACCCUGUGCAUUACACUUUUUUUUACUAUUAAACACUAUUAGUUUUGGAUGUAAUCAGCUUGUUAAAUCAAGUAAAUAACAAAUAAAACUUUCAGCAACGGAUCUCUUGGCUCUCGCAUCGAUGAAGAACGCAGC